rnacentral:lncRNA from 1 species
UGAUUUCACAUUUAACUUGUUCACUCUUGUUUCUGGGGGGGGAAAAAGAGAAUGUUUUGUAUAUUUAUAUUAUUUAUAUAUUUUUCACCCUGCAUUUGGGAUAUUCCUCACUUAAAAAAAAAAAUCCAAACUAGUUAUUUGGUGAGGCUUCAAAGCCUUUUGUAGACAUUGCCAUAGUUAAAUUUCACAAUACUUCUCUGAGGCAUAAAAUUAAGUUUUAAAAUUCCCAAUUGUUGAAUAAGGAAAUUUAAGGACAAAGUUUAAGCGAUUUACUGAGGCCACAGGAAAAAGUGUAAGCAGUGGAAUAAGCCAUUCUGUGGCUGGUAACAUACCAGAGCACAGGACAAUUAUAAAAUUUCACACACUUUAUCCAUAGUCUACCUUUUUGCUCCUUCCCCUUUCCAGCCAGACAAAAAACAUUUUCAGCUAAGCAUUAUCCCAUAUAAAGUCCUGGUAUUUCUAUUUCUGUCAUCUUGUUUCUUCAAAUGAACUAACUUUUUGCUCUUUGUUUAAAAGGCUUCAUUAUCUUAUAGUCAAGUUAGUCGUCUUCUCAGGAAAAAAUAAGUGUUUGUGGAUACUGAAAAUGUGACCACCACCAAAGUGUCCAAGAACCACACUCUCAGAGACCACAAAUGAUGGCUUCACACCUUUGUUGGAGCCUUUGGAAUAAUGCAAAUCAAGUAGUAAAACCACCAACAGAAGAAUCACCUGAACCCCACAUGAAGCACUUGGUAAUCAAUGUGUUGGUUAAAUCCGAAGAUCUAGUUUUAAAAGGCAUGUGGAAUGUGUGCCAGAAAAAUGCAGCAGGCUUCCAUCUGUACUUUGCUUCGAUCUGAUACAAUUAGAUGGACCUUUGUGUGACCUCCCUGACCCAUCCAGAACUCCCACUGGCUUUCAAGAUUGACCAUAAGCCAGCGAGAAUCUUAUGAAACAGGGCAAAUCUGCUAAGGCAUGUAAACCCCUUUUCCAAUAGUGCCUCAAGCAUUUAGGCACAGAUCUUGGAAGUGAUCUUAGUAAUAAACUUCUUAAAGACCACUGUCUCA